rnacentral:rRNA from 1 species
GAUGAACGCUAGCGGCAGGCCUAAUACAUGCAAGUCGAACGGUAGAUCGGGUAGCAAUACUUGAUUGAGAGUGACGUAAGGGUGCGUAACACGUAUGCAAUCUGCCCUCAACAGGAGUAUAGCUCGGGGAAACUCGGAUUAACCCUCCAUAAUAUUAUUGAGAGGCAUCUUUUAAUAAUUAAAACUUCGGUGGUUGAGGAUGAGCAUGCGCAUGAUUAGUUAGUUGGAGGUGUAACGGACCCCCAAGACGAUGAUCAUUAGGGGAACGUGAGAGGUUGAUCCCCCACACUGGCACUGAGAUACGGGCCAGACUCCUACGGGAGGCAGCAGUAGGGAAUAUUGGACAAUGGGCGGAAGCCUGAUCCAGCCAUCCCGCGUGUAGGAAUAAGGCCCUAUGGGUUGUAAACUACUUUUAUUAGGGAAGAAAAACUUUAGUAUUAUUCAGAGCUUGACGGUACCUAAGGAAUAAAGCACCGGCUAACUCCGUGCCAGCAGCCGCGGU